CCUACGGGAGGCAGCAGUGAGGAAUAUUGGUCAAUGGCCGGAAGGCUGAACCAGCCAUGCCGCGUGAAGGUCAGUGCCCUAUGGGCGUUAAACUUCUUUUGUGCGGGAGCAAUAAUGGUCACGUGUGGCCAGACGAGAGUACCGUACGAAUAAGCAUCGGCUAACUCCGUGCAAGCAGCCGCGGUAAUACGGGGGAUGCAAGCGUUAUCCGGAAUUAUUGGGUUUAAAGGGUGCGUAGGCUGUGAGGUAAGUCAGCGGUGACAUGCCCCGGCUCAACGGGGUGAAGUGCCAUUGAUACUGCCUUGCUUGACGGCGGAUGCCGUGGGAGGAAUGUUUGGUGUAGCGGUGAAAUGCAUAGAUAUCACACAGAACACCGAUUGCGAGGGCAUCUCACGAAUCCGCGAUUGACGCUGAUGCACGAAAGCGUGGGUAUCAAACAGGAUUAGAUACCCCAGUAGUC
rnacentral:rRNA from 1 species